UAGACGCAGAUCUUUGAUAAGAAUAUGUCUCCACUGUUACAUUUCAGCCCAAGCCUUGGGAAAAAUCUGAGGCAAGAGCCAAUAGCUGCCCCUGCAGGGCAUCACCUGAUUCAGGUGAGCGAAUGAACGGAAAAUACGGGUCAAUGGGAGCAUUUGUUAUAGGAGAAGCCAGGCGUUUCUCAGCAAGUGUGUUGGAUGUGAUGCUCAGAUGACUUGGAAUUGCUCACGGCUGGCAGAUGAAAGCAAUGUAUGAGGUGGGGCACAGCUCCAGAACCCAAUUCACACAACUCUCACCCAUUUUA
rnacentral:RNase_P_RNA from 1 species